rnacentral:rRNA from 1 species
UCUACGGGAGGCAGCAGUGAGGAAUAUUGGUCAAUGGACGAGAGUCUGAACCAGCCAAGUAGCGUGAAGGAUGACUGCCCUAUGGGUUGUACACUUCUUUUAUAUGGGAAUAAAAUGUUCCACGUGUGGGAUUUUGUAUGUACCAUAUGAAUAAGGAUCGGCUAACUCCGUGCCAGCAGCCGCGGUAAUACGGAGGAUCCGAGCGUUAUCCGGAUUUCUUGGGUUUAAAGGGAGCGUAGGUGGAUUGUUAAGUCAGUUGUGAAAGUUUGCGGCUCAACCGUAAAAUUGCAGUUGAAACUGGCAGUCUGGAGUACAGUAGAGGUGGGCGGAAUUCGUGGUGUAGCGGUGAAAUGCUUAGAUAUCACGAAGAACUCCGAUUGCGAAGGCAGCUCACUGGACUGCAACUGACACUGAGGCUCGAAAGUGUGGGUAUCAAACAGGAUUAGAUACCCGGGUAGUC